GGAAAGCAGAGAACUGGCCUCUGGAGAGCUAUGUGCAAGUUUGCUUCUGGCUAAAAGUUAAUGAUCAAUCGCCUGUAUUUUCAGCUCUGAGUCCCCAACAAGCGGCUAAUGCAGCUUUUCUCUCUCUCUCCAGCCUUGGUUUCAAGCGAGAUGCAUCCGCAGCUACAUAGGAAGGCUUGUAACAAGAUAUGCAAGUCCUUAACUUCAGCUUUGUGUCCGAGAAAUCGGGCCCAUGGCUACUAAAUAAUACUGCAAAGAUGUCUGCGUGUUGAAGCGCCAGGUAUACUGUUCACCGAUAAUCUGGAGUCGGCUCUACCUCUCCCUUUAUAUUGCCUUCAUCCGAAAGUGACUAGGCUUAGAAAUACACACCACCCAAAGGACUCUGUUAAAGUGCUCAUCUGACAACAGGUUGCCCUAAUCUCCAGCAGAGGUGCAGAAAUGCCAUCGGAGACUGCUGCUCCUCCUCCACACCCCCUUCCUCCAGAUGGAGGGUGGGGUUGGGUAGUAGUUUGCGCAUCCUUUAUCUCCAUUGGAUUUUCAUAUGCCUUCCCCAAAGCUGUCACAGUAUUCUUCAAAGAUAUUCAGGAAAUCUUCAAUGCUAGCUACAGUGAAAUUGCAUGGAUAUCAUCCAUCAUGCUGGCUGUCAUGUAUGCA